GACGAACGCUGGCGGCGUGCUUAACACAUGCAAGUCGAACGGAAAGGCCCUGCUUUUGUGGGGUGCUCGAGUGGCGAACGGGUGAGUAACACGUAAGUACCCUGUCCUUGAGUUUGGGAUAACUUAAGGACACUGGGGCUAAUACCGGAUAGGAGCUCCUGCUGCAUGGUGGGGGUUGGAAAGUUUCGGCGGUUGGGGAUGGACGCGCGGCCCAUCAGCUUGAUGGUGGGGUAGUGGCUUACCAAGGCUUUGAAGGGUAGCCGGCCUGAGCGGGUGAACGGCCACAUUGGGACUGAGAUGCGGCCCAGACUCCUACGGGAGGCAGCAGUGGGGAAUAUUGUACAAUGGGCGGAAGCCUGAUGCAGCAACGCCGCGUGCGGGAUGUCGGCCUUCGGGUUGUAAACCACUUUCGCCUGUGACGAAGCGUGAGUGACGGUAAUGGGUAAAGAAGCACCGGCUAACUACGUG
rnacentral:rRNA from 1 species